CGGAAAUGCUGUGGAGAAUUACAUAGUUAAUGACCCUAUUCAUGUGGUAUUGCUACAAUAUUUUAUCGAGCGACAAUGUUUGUUCAAGUGCAUAAGGCAGAUCUUAAUGCAUGCUUUAUAUUUAGGGAAUAGCUUGAAAGAAGGGAGUCUGAUUAGGGAGGAAGCACUAAAGAUGAU